rnacentral:lncRNA from 1 species
AAAAACGGGAAAAUUUCGAUUUUUUUAGGUGAAAAUUUAACGGAUAUUUGAAAAAGGGCUUAUCUAUUGCUCGGUCCACAAACAUCUAUGAAAUGACAUUGGUUAAGGUAUUGUAGACUAGUACACAAUACGACAUCAAUGAACAAUGAGCAAAAUUAUUACCGUAUAGUCUAAACCGGGCCUGACAUAACCAAAUGAAUAAAAAAGAAAAAAAGGAAAGACCAACGUAAGCAUGAAUGACAAAAUAAUUAAUGAGAAAAAGGCAUGCAGCUCACCUUAGCAA